AUCAUUUCAUAUUGAAGAUGGUAAUGAGUUUACUGUACUAAAAUGGCCUCCACAAUAACCAGAUCUCAAUCCAAUGUAGCACCUUUUGGGAUGUGGUGGAACGGGAGAUUCGCAUCAUGG